AACGAACGCUUGCGGCAUGCCUAACACAUGCAAGUCGAACGAGACCUUCGGGUCUAGUGGCUCACGGGUGCGUAACGCGUGGGAACCUGCCCUUAGGUUCGGAAUAACUCCCCGAAAGGGGUGCUAAUACCGGAUAAUGUCUUCGGACCAAAGAUUUAGCGCCUUUGGAUGGGCCCGCGUUGGAUUAGCUAGUUGGUAGGGUAAAAGCCUACCAAGGCGACGAUCCAUAGCUGGUCUGAGAGGAUGAUCAGCCACACUGGGACUGAGACACGGCCCAGACUCCUACGGGAGGCAGCAGUGGGGAAUAUUGGACAAUGGGCGAAAGCCUGAUCCAGCAAUGCCGCGUGAGUGAUGAAGGCCUUAGGGUUGUAAAGCUCUUUUACCCGGGAUGAUAAUGACAGUACCGGGAGAAUAAGCUCCGGCUAACUCCGUG
rnacentral:rRNA from 1 species